CUUCUCAAGUCCUGGCAUUUUCAUGCCUGCAGAGAGCUGCUGAGCUCACCACAGCAUGCUCAUCUUGCUCUGGAAUGGGGAAAUAGCACUUCCUGACCGAAGACUCAUGUUUGAAAACUCCCAUCAGAAGGAAAACUCAAGGAGAAGCAAUCAUUUCGGGACAGCCAAGUCCAUGUCAGAUGUGGAGGAUCCAAAGAGUAUGACAUGCUCCCUCGGCUGCUCAUAGUUCCCAAGGAAAUGAAGAAGGAGCUAAUGGUUCUGUCUGGGAAAGCCAGGAAAUGCUUCACAGAAGCUGUGACAUUUGACAUGGAUCAUACAAGAUGAGGAGGAGUGUACAGGGUGAAGAGCCAAAGAUAUUUUCUCGAUGAGAAAACUGAAGCCCGGCAGGAUUGGAUAACUUAUCUAAAGUCCUGCAACGAGUAAGUGAAAAACAGAAUGCAAAAUCGACCUCUUCCUGUGACACGGGAUUGCGCCUUUUCCUCUGUGUCAGCUCUUGGAGUUGUCGUUCUCCGUCACAACUAGGCUGUGACCAGAGGCCGCCUGGACCCAGGUCCCGGCCUCUACAACCUCUGCAGUGCCCCAAGCCUGACUCUGCCGCCGGGUGUGGCCGCUGCCCUUUCUCCACAGUGCUGAAAACAUACUCUUAAAAUCCUGGCCUGAAAUCAUUCAGCGAAUUGUGAGUCAUCCAGCAACAGAAUACUAUGGAGCCCUUAAAAAGUAUAUUUAGAGGGUUUUUAUGGGCAUGAAAAGAAAUGCUUGUAUAUAAAACUAAUAAUAAUAGACAAAUACCUGUAUUCAUAGCAUGAGAUCACCAAUAGAAAAAAAAAAAAAAUCCUAGAGGAAAAGCCAGAAAGGAAAGUCACCAAAUGCUAACAGUGGUUAUUUCUAGAUGAUGGACUUACGGGUGCCUAUUUCUCCUUCUUUUGACUUUUCCAUAUCUCACAAUUUUCCACAAUAGACAUGCAUGGCUCUACAAUGGGGAGAGGAGGAGGGUAGAAUAUUUAACACCUGACUGUGGCUUGAGGACUGUGUGACAUCCUUUUCCCAGGCACUUCCAAGGCCCAGGCUGGAGCGGUUCCAUGUGUGGAGCCUGCCAGAGCCUCCCAGCAGGCAGCUGCGCCUGGGAAAACAGGCCCUUCCGCGGGGGUGGGCAUCUGGGUUUGAUUUCUCCACCCUCCUGUUCUCCUUUCUCGCUUCACCUGAAUAUCCCCUGGAGAAGGCACAGGCUGCAGCCUGAAUCCAGCCCGUCCCUCCCCAGCCAGUCUGCAUCUUCAGCCCUGCAGCCCCAAACCAGACACCCUGCCCUGACUGCCCAAGACGAGAGCCUGCCGGGUGACAACUUCUAUUCUGGGGGCCUCAGAAAACUCCCCUAGCCCUGUGUCGCUAUGUGUGCAGACUUCUCAUAAGACAGUGAGAACCAGAAAGGCACCCAGGAACCCAGAAUGUAAAAGGAACUAUCGCCUCCCUCUCAUUGCUGUCACCCAGGACCACAUAGGAGGCUUCAGCAACUGCUUCUGUCCACGCCCUUCUUCCUUUGACGUGCAUUUAAUCAGGGCUUCCUGAGGGGGAAGUUGAGUAGUCCCUGCCUGGAGGGGUCAGUUCCACUGGGAGAGACUCCAGACGACACCCUGGAUUAGCAGGAGGGUCGAUGCCACUUCCAGGGGGGGGCUGGGUGAGCGGCAGAUCCUAUGUCUGGGAAAGGCUGGCCAGGAACAGGGGGUCCGGGCUGGAUGCCUGAUAGAUGAGGGGUGAUCAGACAGAAGAGAGCUAGGUGAGUGUUUUGUGCAAAGGCAGCGGCAUGAGCAAAGGAGCAGACACACAAAUGAGAGCGUGUGAGGCGUCUGGCAGGAGGUAAGGUGGUUAGAACUGCACUGUCAGUCCUGCCUGCAGAGCCGAGGAGGUAGGAGCUCCUUCUGGCAGAGGAGCCAGGAGCAGACCUGCCGUUAGAUGGGAGACUGUAGCCACACAGGAGACAGAGCCAAAGCAGGACAUCCAUGGAGCAAGGAGGGGGAGGGGGUGGCAGGCAUUCUAUCGCCCUGCCCCCUACGCUGCCCUGGAAAUCCAGCCUGGAAUAAGAACCACAUAUUUAUUCAGCUCUGGUCUUUAAAUGAGGAACUUCAGCCUUUCACAGUCCUCCCAUGCCUGCAGACUUGCCACUGGGAACCAGAGAAGGUUACUCCCAUCCCUGGAGGCCCUAGCCUGUGACUAUGAACCUGGAAGAAGCUGGCAGUUUUAUUUGUCAGACAGACUAGAGCAUAGAGGGAGCUAUUCUGCAAGAAAUGAGGCAAAGCUGUAGUAAUCAAAACAGUAUGGUACGGGCACAAAAAAAUAGACAUAAAGAUCAAUAGAGCAGAACAGAAAACCCAGAAAUGAACCCACAAUGAUAUGGUCAAUUAAUCUUUAACAAAGCAGGAAAGAAUAGCCAAUGGGAAAAAGACAGUCUCUUCAAUAAAUGGUGUUGGGAAAACUGGUCAGCUACAUGCAAAAGAAUGAAACUGGAUACUCUCUCACACCAUAUCACAAAAAAUAAAUUUAAAAUGGAUUAGAGACCUAAAUAUGAAACCAGAACCCAUAAAAAUCCUAGAAAAGAGCACAGGCAAUAAGAUUUCUGACAUCAAGCAUAGCAACUUUUUUCUAGCUAUGUCUCUUGAGGCAAGGGAAAUAAAAGCAAAACUAAACUAUUGGGAUUACCAAAAAGAAAACCUUCUGCACAGUGAAGGAAACAAUCAAUAAAACUAAAAGGCAACACACAGAAUGGGAGAAGAUAUUUGCAAAUGACAUACCUGAUAAAGGGUUAGCAUCCAAAAUAUAUAAAGAACUUAUAUAAAUCAACACCCAAAAAACAAAGGAUCCAAUUAAAAAAUGAGCAGAAGAUAUGGAUAGACAUUUUCCCAAAGAUGACAUCCAGACAUUCAUGACUGGCCAACAUACAUGAAAAGAUGCUCAACAUCCCUCAUCAUCAGGGAAAUGCAAAUCAAAACUACAGUGAGAUGCCACCUUGCACCUGUCAGAAUGGCUAAAAUCAAAAACACAGAAAGUAACAGGUGUUGAUGAGGAUGUGGAGAAAGGGGAGCCCUCUUGCACGGUUGGUGGGAAUGAAAACUGGUGUAGCCACUGUAGAAAAUAGUAUGGCAGUUCCUCAAAAAGUUAAAAAUAGAACUACCCUAUAAUCCAGUAAUCAUACUACUGAGUAUUUACCCAAAAGAUACACAAUCACUAAUUCAAAGGGAUACAUGCACCCCUAUGUUUAUAGUAGCAUUAUUUAUAAUAGCCAAAGUAUGGAAGCAGCCCAAGUGUCCAUUGACUGGCAAACAGAUAAAGAACAAAUACAUACAAUGGAAUAUUAUUCAGCCACAAAAAUUAAUGAAAUCUUGCCAAUUGCAAUGACAUGGAUGGAGCUAGAGAUUAUAAUGCUAGGUGAAAUAAAUCAGCCAGAGAAAGACAAAUACCAUAUUAUUUUACUCACAUGAAAUUUAAGAAACAAAACAAAUGAGCAACGGGAAAAAAGAGAGGGAGAGAGAUAGGCCAAGAAACAGACUCUUAACUAAAGAGAACACACUAAUGGUAAUUGGGGGCGGGGCAGGGGGGUGGAUUAAAGAGUGCACUCGUUGUGAUGAGCACUGGAUGCCAUAUGGAAGUAGUGAAUUAUUAUAUUGUACACCAAAAACUAAUAUUACACUGUAUGUUAACUAUACUUAAAUUAAAGUUAGAAAAACAAAUGAGGUUGGAGCCCGCUUC